rnacentral:tRNA from 1 species
GCGGCAUUGAUGUAACAGCAAUAUGCCUGUCUUCCAAACAGAGUAUGUCGGUGCAACUCCGACAUGCCGCACCA